rnacentral:tRNA from 1 species
GCAUUCGUGGUGUAGUGGUCUGCAUGCUCGACCUUAAUCGAAAGGUCCGUGGUUCGAUUCCCGGCGAAGGCG